GGUCCCGCUGCUGCUCGGUUCUCAACGCGAACAACCAGCCUCGCGUCGAAGUCCAUUAACCUCCCGGAGAGACAAAAACAAAGGAUCGCAGCGCCCUCCAGAGGUCAACGUGCUGAACCGCCGAAUGGAUCCUCUGACCACUGAGCAUUGAAGGCCGACCUCAAAUCUGUUUUCACACAUCUCAGGCACCUCUUACGAACUAUAAUGAAACUGAAGGAACUGUUGGCUUUGACCAAACAGCACUUUGAAGGUGUCACUUUGGACUCCGGGAGGAGAAGGAGAAGAAGACAGAGAGACUGCAGCUUUUUGUCAUGGCUUUCUG
ensembl:lncRNA